GACAGAGGGGGCAAGCGUUGCUCGGAAUUACUGGGCGUAAAGGGCGCGUAGGCGGGAUGGCAAGUCGGUCGUGAAAUCCCUCGGCUCAACUGAGGAUCGUCGAUCGAUACUGCCGUUCUUGAGGAUUGCAGAGGAGACUGGAAUUCUCGGUGUAGCGGUGAAAUGCGUAGAUAUCGAGAGGAACACCUGCGGCGAAGGCGGGUUGCUGGGCUGACACUGACGCUGAGGCGCGAAAGCCAGGGGAGCGAACGGG
rnacentral:rRNA from 1 species